rfam:Danio rerio chromosome 4, GRCz11 reference primary assembly.
GGUUCCAUUGUGUAAUGGUUAGCACUCUGAACUCUGAAUCCAGUGAUCUGAGCUCAAAUCUCGGUGGGACCU